rnacentral:rRNA from 1 species
UACGGAGGGGGCUAGCGUUGUUCGGAAUUACUGGGCGUAAAGCGCGCGUAGGCGGACCUGCAAGUCGGGGGUGAAAGCCCGAGGCUCAACCUCGGAACUGCCUUCGAUACUGCGGGUCUCGAGUCCGGGAGAGGUGAGUGGAAUUCCUAGUGUAGAGGUGAAAUUCGUAGAUAUUAGGAAGAACACCAGUGGCGAAGGCGGCUCACUGGCCCGGUACUGACGCUGAGGCGCGAAAGCGUGGGGGAGCAAACAGGGAU